CAGUCGCCGCGGUAAUACAGAGGGUGCGAGCGUUAAUCGGAUUUACUGGGCGUAAAGCGUGCGUAGGCGGCUAAUUGAGUCGGAUGUGAAAUCCCCGAGCUUAACUUGGGAAUUGCAUUCGAUACUGGUUAGCUAGAGUGUGGGAGAGGAUGGUAGAAUUCCAGGUGUAGCGGUGAAAUGCGUAGAGAUCUGGAGGAAUACCGAUGGCGAAGGCAGCCAUCUGGCCUAACACUGACGCUGAGGUACGAAAGCAUGGGGAGCAAACAGGAUUAGAUACCUGCGUAGUCCCUGUCUCUUAUAC
rnacentral:rRNA from 1 species